AUAGAAUCAAUGGAAGGCCCAAAUUAAUGCUUUGUUUUGCGGUAACUUGGAAAAUGGAUUUUGUUCCUUCCUACUUUUGCUCAAUAGCGUGGGCCCAAUAUUUUCUAGUUCAAUUUUCCAUUAUUGGACAGUGGUUCCUUCGGAGCUCUUAUGCAAUACACCUUUCUUAAACACCUAUCCUUUAAAAUUUUAGUUUGCUUGCCUGGUAAAAGUAGGAAUCAUAUUCCAAAUUUUGAAAGAGAGUUUCUUUGUUUUUUCCCCUCAAUUAGUUCUAAGGAAUAUGAUAUUCCUCUCGACUUGGAAACGCCAAAGCCCAUCAUAUAUCUUUUUCUUUUUUUCUUACAUGAAAAUUUCUGAUCGAGAGGUUAGAACCCUGAUAUUCUGUUCCUCAGCUUGAUAUCACUGUCAUUUUAUCAACCCUCGAGUUAAAUAUUUCACUAAGCGGCAUGAUAGAAGAGACAUGCAUCAAAGAAAGUCUUGAUUGGUUGCAUAUUAUGGAGAACUCGAAGGGAAUAUUCCAAUUGACCAGGGCAUCUUUAAAGUCUGCAGUAAUCCAUACAAGGAAUAGGGGGAAAUUAAAAGGAAAAAGAAAAUGAAAGAAGAUGCUUCCAGUAUGGAGAAGGGAGAUGGGCCCUAAAUUUUCAUUCUUCGGCCCAAAAACUCGAGGCCCAUCCUGUGGUAUCUUUGAGCGGGAGGGACCUGAUCAAAAGGGGGAAGCCAGAAUAGUACUCGUAGCUCAAUACAGGACAACAGCAGAAGACCACUUGACUUGCCUCUUUGCUUAUGUAGCAGAUUCCCACGAAUAUUUAAUGCGGCCAGGAGAAUCUGUGGGAGCCUUUUGGUAAAGUUAAAGGCUUUAAAGCUGAGCUCCUGAAUAGUGAUCUGGCAUGUGGAUUGGAAUAAUUUGAGCACGAGGAUUGAUCUGGUACUUUUCAGUCUUGAUAUCGAAUGUGCUCCCUUAGAUGGACUUAAUUAUACCACUUGGCAGAUCCUCUAGUCUAUAUCAUGAUAUGAGAAACUUAUCAUGACAGCUAGAAGAGUA